rnacentral:rRNA from 1 species
GCCUAACACAUGCAAGUCGCACGAGAAAGUCUUCGGACGAGUAGAGUGGCGCACGGGUGAGUAAUACAUAGGAACGUUCCUUUAGGCGGGGGAUAACUGCUGGAAACGGCAGCUAAUACCGCAUGGUCUCGCAAGAGUAAAGAUGCCCUCUAUUUAUAAGGUAUCGCCAAAAGAUCGGCCUAUGUCCCAUUAGCUAGUUGGCGGGGUAACGGCCCACCAAGGCAACGAUGGGUAGCUGGUCUGAGAGGACGAUCAGCCACACUGGAACUGAGACACGGUCCAGACUCCUACGGGAGGCAGCAGUGGGGAAUCUUGCGCAAUGGGCGAAAGCCUGACGCAGCAAUGCCGCGUGAGUGAAGAAGGCCUUUGGGUUGUAAAGCUCUUUCGACUGGGGAGAAGGGUUAGCCUGCGAAUAGUUGGCUAAUUUGACGGUACCAGGAGAAGAAGCCACGGCUAACUUCGUGCCAGCAGCCGCGGUAAUACGAAGGUGGCAAGCGUUGUUCGGAAUCAUUGGGCGUAAAGCGAACGUAGGCGGGUUUGUAAGUAGACUGUGAAAUCCCUGGGCUCAACCCGGGACGUGCUGUCUAAACUGCAAGUCUUGAAUUCUCGAGAGGGUGGUGGAAUUCCUGGAGUAGUAGUGAAAUACGUAGAUAUCAGGAGGAACACCGGAGGCGAAGGCGGCCACCUGGCGAGACAUUGACGCUAGGCUCGAAAGCGUGGUAGCAAACAGGAUAGAUACCCUGGUAGUCCGCGCCGUAAACGAUGGAUACUAGAUGUUCGGGGAGUUAACCCCUGAGUAUCAAAGCUAACGCAUUAAGUAUCCCGCCUGGGAAGUACGGCCGCAAGGCUGAAACUCAAAGAAAUUGACGGGGGCCCGCACAAGAGGUGGAGUAUGUGGUUUAAUUCGAAGCAACGCGCAGAACCUUACCUGGUCUUGACAUCCGGAGACAUCCAUAGAGAUAUGGCUUCCACUUCGGUGGCUCCGAGACAAGUGCUGCAUGGCUGUCGUCAGCUCGUGUCGUAGGAUGUUGGGUUAAGUCCCGCAACGAGCGCAACCCCUGUUUUUAGUUGCCAGCAUUAAGUUGGGCACUCUAAAAAGACCGCCGGUGUUAAACCGGAGGAAGGCGGGGAUGACGUCAAGUCCUCAUGGCCUUUACGACCAGGGCUACACACGUACUACAAUGGUAGAGACAAACCGAUGCAGAGCCGCGAGGCGAAGCGAAUCGGAAAAACACUAUCCCAGUCCGGAUUGGAGUCUGCAACUCGACUCCAUGAAGUUGGAAUCUCUAGUAAUCGCAGAUCAGCACGCUGCGGUGAAUACGUUCCCGGGCCUUGUACACACCGCCCGUCACACCACGAAAGUGGUCAUAACCAUAAGCAAGUGAGCCAACCGCAAGGAGGCAGCUUACCAAGGUUCUGGCCGUGAUUGGGGUGAAGUCGUAACAAGGUAGCCGUAGGGGAACCUGCGGCUGGAUCACCUCCU